rnacentral:rRNA from 1 species
CUACGGGGGGCUGCAGUGGGGAAUAUUGCACAAUGGAGGAAACUCUGAUGCAGCAACGCCGCGUGGAGGAUGACACUUUUCGGAGCGUAAACUCCUUUUAUAUAGGAAGAAGAUGACGGUACUAUAUGAAUAAGCGCCGGCUAACUCCGUGCCAGCAGCCGCGGUAAUACGGAGGGCGCAAGCGUUACUCGGAAUCACUGGUCGUAAAGAGCGUGUAGGCGGAUUAAAAAGUCAGAAGUGAAGUCCUAUAGCUUAACUAUAGAACUGCUUCUGAAACUCUUAAUCUAGAAUAUGGGAGAGGUAGAUGGAAUUUCUGGUGUAGGGGUAAAAUCCGUAGAGAUCAGAAGGAAUACCGAUUGCGAAGGCGAUCUACUAGAACAUUAUUGACGCUGAGACGCGAAAGCGUGGGGAGUAAACAGGAUUAGAUACCCCCGUAGUC